GACGAGCUCUCCGAACGUUAUUCGGUAUCACUGGGCUUAAAGAGUUCGUAGGCGGUCUGGUAGGUGAGGUGUGAAAUCCCCCGGCUCAACCGGGGAACUGCGCUUCAAACCACCGGACUUGAGGGAGACAGAGGUGGGCGGAACAGAUGGUGGAGCGGUGAAAUGCGUUGAUAUCAUCUGGAACACCGGUGGCGAAAGCGGCCCACUGGGCUAACACUGACGCUCAUGCACGAAAGCGUGGGGAGCAAACAGG
rnacentral:rRNA from 1 species